UAAGCUCUAAAAAGAUUGACCGACAGAUUAUAAACAAAAGAUGACCGAAAGAUGGUAACCAGAAGAGGCUUAAAUUGAAGAUGUUGAUGUUGCUGUUGUAAGAUAAUCAGAAACAAUUUCCAGACUAGGAUCGGUUAAAACACACAACAGGAAAGGGGUAAACUUGACUAAAAUAAACAAGAGCAAAAAUUGUAGCUUCAAAGGUAUAAUUAAAGACAACUUUUUUGGGUAAAAUGUAUUAUAAUAAUAAUCAGGUGAAAAACACAGCAAUAGGAUUAAAUAAGGUAAAAAGCAUUAUAAGAAUCAUGCUAUUAUUAACUAACAGUGAAUAUUAAAGAUUAACUUAUUUACAUGCAAAUUUGAAAAUUGCUUGAAUAUCUUUUGCUACUCUAAUCCUAUUAGAUAUAUCGAUACAAUUAUCGAUGUACUCGAUCUAAAUUAAUCUCAUUUCCCUCCUUUUAUAGUGGCGCUUAAAAACUGUUGAAUGAUGGCAAUGUUUUUGAUCAACAAAAUUGUUAAAUUGUAUUAAUUACUGUUUUAAUUAUAACUUUUACUUUUUUACGUUUAUCUAAUUAUUAUUACUAUUACUGCUACUAUGUGUGCCAUUCUUGUUUACAUAAAUUACCAUUUCGACCAUUUUGCCAGUUUCGUCAAUGAAGAUGGUUUAACACUUGUGUUUUAAAAUGGCUAUAAUCUUAUCAAUCCAACUUGUAUGAUAACUUGUUAUUUGAUUGUUUUAGUUUGAGUUAUCAUUAAUGUUCAAACUUACAUCUACAUUUCAAUAAUAGUCUGAGAAGUAGAUUGAUGUGAAAAUGACCAUCUUUCAUGACAUUAUCAACGAGAACUACUCUUUAUAAUUCUUUCAUGUAUUGUGAAGAUGUUUGUAGUUGUAAAUGAUGAUGAUGAUGUUUAACAAAAUAAUUUAUUUUCAAACUGUCUUUAUCUCUACCAUUUCAUCCUUUCACAUUUUGUUGUAAUUUGUGAAUCCUCAAAAAGAACAGGAGAAACAAGCUUAAUCAAUUUGGAGUGGAGCAAAUUGCAAUCAUGGCGGGACGGUGACAUUGCUAACCUAAUGAUGGAUCAAAAGGUUAACAAGGACGGUGGGACAAGAUGCAGGUUGCUACUAUUUGACAUUCUCAUACACGACUAAUUAACAGUGCAGAGUUAUAAGAUAAUUUGAUAAAUUGAGGUCUACCCUUUGCCUCUUUUCAAGAAACUAUAAGAUGGAUCAAGAUUAAGUCAAUUAGUGAAGCAUUUUAUUAGAGUGAUGAUGAAAGGAGGAGUAAGGAGUUUUAUGAAAUACAGAUGUAGAUGUAGAUGUUGAAGUAGAUAAUGAUAAUGAAGGUGAUACAGAAGGGAAAAAAAGAAGAAAGGAGUCAAGAUAAAUUUCAACCAGAAUAAGACCUUUCAACUUUUCAUUAUUAGCUACUUGUCUUCACAUGACAAGGUAUAUAAAAAAAUGCUCAUGAAAAUGCUUUCUCUUCAUUUUUUUAUUCUCAUCUCACAAUAGAGUUUAAACCUUCAGGAGGUCAGUAGAGCGACAAUAAGAGUAAUUUACUCAGACAAUCCAUUUCAUCUUGUACAUAAUGGUUGCUGAAAUUAUCAUCAUCAUCUUCAUUCUUUAUUAUUAUCAUCAUCAUCAAUUUCCUUCCUCUUCAUCCUUUUUUUUCAAAUCUUUACAAUGGCCUGAUAAUUCAGUGAAAUUCAUUUUCAUCGCAAAAGUGAGUUCAGUUGGCCAAAAAGUGGGAGUAUGGUCAAACUAAAAUAUUGUUGAGAUAUUAAUGGUUUAUUUGAUCAAAAAAUAACACAAUUUAAUAAAAUUGUGCCAAUGGUUAACAUUCAAUUCUGAUUUUUGGUAAAGUAAAUCAUUAAUGGCUUUAACAAACAACUCACCUUGAUUAACAAAACCUGUAUUUACGAUGAAAAAAGUUAAUUAGCUGCUUUGAAGAUCGGAAUUUCUCCUAAAUAACCCAUCAUCUUCAUCAUUGAGUUUCAAGUUAAUUGUAAUUGUUUUCUAAUUUCCUUUUUUCAGUUUCAUUUUUAAUUUGAUUUAGCUUUUCUUUUUUUCUUCUCUUUAUUGUAAGUGUAAAAUCUGACAAUAUAACUUUUUUACAACACUUU